GACGAACGCUGGCGGCGUGCUUAACACAUGCAAGUCGAACGGAAAGGCCUUUUCGGAGGUACUCGAGUGGCGAACGGGUGAGUAACACGUGGGUGAUCUGCCCUGCCCUCUGUGAUAUGCCUGGUAAACUAGGUCUAAUACCGGAUAGGACGGCACCUUAGUGUGUGUGGUGGCAGGUUUUUUCUGUGUAGGAUGAGCCCGCGGCCUCCCAGCUUGUUGGUGGGGUAAUGGCCUACCAAGGCGGCGGCGGGUGGCCAGCCUUAGGGGUUGGUCGGCCACCCUGGGACUGAGGUGCGGCCCAGACUCCUAAGGGAGGCAGCAGGGGGGAAUAUUGCACAAUGGGCGCAAGGCUGAUGCAGCGACGCCGCGUGGGGGAUGACCGCCUUCGGGUUGUAAAAUCCUUUCGGCAGGGAAGAAGGGUUUUGUGACGGUACCUGGAGAAGAAGCACCGGCUAACUACGUG
rnacentral:rRNA from 1 species